rnacentral:ncRNA from 10 species
GGCCUAAAAGUGUAGUGGGAAAGUGACGUGAAAUUCGUCCAGAUUACUUGAUACGGUUAUACUCCGAAUGCCACCUAGGCCAUACAACGAGCAAGGAGACUCAACAUGAUAAGAUU